GUUGUUCGCUUAAAUUGGUCGUCAAAUGUUGAUACGCGAAAGACAUUUUCUGUUUCUUUUACUCAUAUAUGUCGAUUGUCAUAUAGUUGGAGAUAAAGCUCACUUGAACUUAAAAAAAUAUGCGAGCAUGCGUACGGUUGUUUUCACGACACGAUCAUAGUCUGUGGUAAAUCUGUUAACGAAGCCCGUACAUUUUUGGACCUCUGCGAUUUGUACGAAUACUCCUGCGAAUACAGCAUGGUUUUCAGGCACGUCAAAGAAGAUGACGGAAUUUGUCCAAACCCUAAGGAAUUAGGACCGGGAGUGGGUUAAAAGUAACGAAUAUAUGGAUAAAGUAUAACAAUGUAAUUUAUAUAAAUAAUAAAACAUCAAUCCUGAUUUAUGUGAAUUCCUAAUCCAGAAUUAAGCAUUGACUCAUAUGAAGAUACUAAAGCGAAAUCGAAAACAGGAUGUAAUAGUAGUGUUAACAUCAAAACUGUCUUAGGAAAUAGCAACUGCAUGUCUUCAUUAUUUAAAAAAAAAACUGUUAUUUUUAAUGAGAUCAUAUUAUUAUGUAAAAGAUAAAAUACAUAGUGUAAUUUGUACAAUAAUGCGAUAAGUUGCAUGUUACGCUUUUCAUCGAACUUGGCGAAGCUGAAGUUCUCGUCAAAUCCACAGAUAAUAUUGGAAUUGAGGGAUCUUUAUCAAAGUAUUACGUUCCGACAUCACGAGCUCGCUUCAUUCGACAUGUCUUCUCCAUUUGAGCGACGAGACGAUUUAUAAAAAUAAGUUUAGUAAAUUUUUUU